rnacentral:tRNA from 1 species
GCUCCCGUAGCUCAGGGGAUAGAGCGUCGGUUUCCUAAACCGUGCGUCGCAGGUUCGAAUCCUGCCGGGGGCG